rnacentral:rRNA from 1 species
GCUUAACACAAGUUGAGUAGGGAAAGUUUUUCGGUGUAGGAUGAGACUAUAUAGUAUCAGCUAGUUGGUAAGGUAAUGGCUUACCAAGGCUAUGACGCUUAACUGGUCUGAGAGGAUGAUCAGUCACACUGGAACUGAGACACGGUCCAGACUCCUACGGGAGGCAGCAGUAGGGAAUAUUGCGCAAUGGGGGAAACCCUGACGCAGCAACGCCGCGUGGAGGAUGACACUUUUCGGAGCGUAAACUCCUUUUCUUAGGGAAGAAUUCUGACGGUACCUAAGGAAUAAGCACCGGCUAACUCCGUGCCAGCAGCCGCGGUAAUACGGAGGGUGCAAGCGUUACUCGGAAUCACUGGGCGUAAAGGGCGCGUAGGCGGAUUAUCAAGUCUCUUGUGAAAUCUAAUGGCUUAACCAUUAAACUGCUUGGGAAACUGAUAGUCUAGAGUGAGGGAGAGGCAGAUGGAAUUGGUGGUGUAGGGGUAAAAUCCGUAGAUAUCACCAAGAAUACCCAUUGCGAAGGCGAUCUGCUGGAACUCAACUGACGCUAAGGCGCGAAAGCGUGGGGAGCAAACAGGAUUAGAUACCCUGGUAGUCCACGCCCUAAACGAUGUACACUAGUUGUUGGGGUGCUAGUCAUCUCAGUAAUGCAGCUAACGCAUUAAGUGUACCGCCUGGGGAGUACGGUCGCAAGAUUAAAACUCAAAGGAAUAGACGGGGACCCGCACAAGCGGUGGAGCAUGUGGUUUAAUUCGAAGAUACGCGAAGAACCUUACCUGGGCUUGAUAUCCUAAGAACCUUUUAGAGAUAAGAGGGUGCUAGCUUGCUAGAACUUAGAGACAGGUGCUGCACGGCUGUCGUCAGCUCGUGUCGUGAGAUGUUGGGUUAAGUCCCGCAACGAGCGCAACCCACGUAUUUAGUUGCUAACGGUUCGGCCGAGCACUCUAAAUAGACUGCCUUCGUAAGGAGGAGGAAGGUGUGGACGACGUCAAGUCAUCAUGGCCCUUAUGCCCAGGGCGACACACGUGCUACAAUGGCAUAUACAAUGAGACGCAAUACCGCGAGGUGGAGCAAAUCUAUAAAAUAUGUCCCAGUUCGGAUUGUUCUCUGCAACUCGAGAGCAUGAAGCCGGAAUCGCUAGUAAUCGUAGAUCAGCCAUGCUACGGUGAAUACGUUCCCGGGUCUUGUACUCACCGCCCGUCACACCAUGGGAGUUGAUUUCACUCGAAGCCGGAAUACUAAACUAGUUACCGUCCACAGUGGAAUCAGCGACUGGGGUGAAGUCGUAACAAGGUAACCGUAGGAGAACCUGCGGUUGGAUCACCUCCUUU